GCCUGUGUUUGCUGUCACAAAAGCCGGGGGACAGCGUCACUGAGGCCACGGUGACCCGCCAUUCCGCCUGCCAGCCACAGGGUGUCACUUAGAGUGCAGGUAAAGCCCGUGUCCCCUGCAGGGUGGAUGCUGCAGGGUGACCCUGCACCGGGGCUGCUCCGGGAUAGAGCUGCUCCCCAUCCUGCUGCACGGCUGAAGAGCCCCACUGAGGUGGAGCAGGGACAAGGACACGGUGGGGAAGGACGUUCUGGGAGGGAUCCUGUCCCCUCUUCUAUGGGGUGUUGCCUGCUUCAGCAGGGCUGCUCUGAAAAGCUGCGGGAAGGGCAGUGCUAAGCUUUGUUCCCAGGUGUGUGUUGGGAUGUGGAGCUGUGCAAAGCCCAGUGCAGCCGUUCAGAGAUGAAACAAACCUGUCAGAGGAGCCUGAGCAGGCAGCAAGAGCCUGCCCUUGGAUGAUGCAGGGAUUGCUCGUGGCUGGACACGCUGUGUUCAUCACUGCACUGCUGUCCUUUGCAUCCAUCUGAUGUCUCAGUGCUGUCCCCUGGCAGCAGCUGUUGGAUUUUCCCUCGGUACCUGGCAGAUGCUCCAGGUGCUCCCACUGGACAGCAAUAACUCACAGGAAUUGCUGAAUUAUGCCAGUAAUCCCUGAAACACCAGCACUUGUGUAUUUCAAAGUACAUCGUGAGCAGUCAGGACUUGCUGCAGGAUCUCCAGGCUCCACAGUGAUUCCUGCUCUGCAGCUGGAGCAGCUGAUGCACAGUUUGGAAGAAGAAUGAUUUCAAAGAUUGUUGGUUUUGGGCUGAUCUUAACACACUUGAACAACUGAAAACUCUGAUCUCUGUAUGGAAGCCAGUGUGGAAAAUGGGAGUUUGGGUGCAGGAAAUGGAUUUCUAGGAUUCAUAAGGAGAGGACACCCUUUUCCUUUGCAGGACAGCAGAGUGAAAGGCUGGGGAUGAAGGGGAAAGAGAGAAGCAGGGAGAUUUCCCAGUGUUGCCUUGCACUGAGAAAGCGCCUCACAGGUUCCUUCCUAGGGGAAUUUUUCAUGUUCCAGGAGCUCUGCAGGGAUGAGAGAGACCUCUGACUUGGGAAGCCCUUCUGGGAAGUCCUUUUCAUCAGGGGCUUAUUUUAAUUUUCAGGAUGUGGAUGGUGGUGACUUGGGUGGGACUGCAGGGAUUUGGACAGGGCUGCACCCUAACACACCCCAACAAGGCCUUAGGAGAGAGAACCCCUUUCAUUCUUCAUGGGGAACACUUUGUAUUAAAGAAACACAGGAUCCCAUAGGUUCACAUUUAGGUUAAUUUUGGCCAUCUAAUCCAAACUUCUGAAUUUCCCACUUUACAUAACUAUCCUGUAUAAAGUCACCCACUUUGCCCCUAUGUCAUUAAUUACCAAAUUAACAUCUGAAAAUGCACAUUUCCACCAGAGCUGCCUGUGACUCAGAAGUCUCCUUAGCAGCCCAAAAAUUAGAAGGCUUUUGUUUGCUGUGAAAGUGAGGGAACAAAUUCCCACUUGGGUCUGCUUUCUGUUUCCAAGCCUGUCUCAAAAGGGACAGGGAUAAAUCCAAGUGCAGUUGUGGUGGUUCACUGCAUCGCUCAGUUCCAGGGAGUGGCUGUAGCAGUGGGAAUUCUGGGUUUUUCUGCUUCUUACUCCUUUUUGGGGAGAAUGAAAGGAUCCCCACAAAGAUCUUUUCACACAGUUAAGUCAUCCUUGUCCACCUACAAACCCAUCCUCAGUCUGGAUUUUUUUUUGCCUUAAUCUGUUCUUAAUCCCUUCAUCUCUCCUGUGUUCACAGCAUGUUUCUCCUAGGGAAAUUAAAAUCCAGCAAAAGUAAUAACAGCAGUUUUAUUCACCAUGAGCACUUUGCUUUGUUCCUUCAGUGAAUGCUGAGGGGGACAGAAGGAUCUCUGAGCUGACCCAGUGAGGCCCUGAGCAGGCACAGAGAGAGGCAUGAAUGGGGUGGAUGUGAAUGAGUCACUGAUGCUCUGGGAUCUGCUGAAAAUCAACUGUGUCUGCACUCAGCUUCUGGUGCACCUGAGCUAAAAUUCACCUCCUGAAACCUCAGGGAAAGAAAUUGAUUUCUCAGUGGUAGGUCAGUUAUGUGUGUGUGAGUCUUUAGGUUCCUGAGUAGCUUUGAAAACUUCACUGGGAUUUUAUUUCAUUUCCUUCAUGAAAUGAAGCACUUCUGUGAAUUUUGAGCAUGCAGAUGAAGAAGCUCUGGCUUUGCUUGGUGAAAAUAAAUCUGGUGUGGCAAUAGGACAUUGCAAGUUGGAUCAGAUGAACUCUACAGGCAUUUCUGUGGUUCUGUGAUGUCCCUACAGAUCUCAGAUAGAUCCUUUAGUGGUCUCUAUCACCAACUGUUUGUUUUUCAUGGACACCUAUGACAGUGUUUUUUUCUGUGAAGAACUUGUGCUACCAGGUGUGCAUCAGAGUGAGAGUGGUCUCAGGCUCUUGCUGUGAUUCCAUUUACCUAUUGAUGUGUAAUAUGUGAUUUUCCUGCACCAUUAAAAUGGUUUAGUUCAUCCUUUGCUUGCUUUUAGGGGAAUUGAGUGAUACUCAUGGGGCACUGACCUUUGUCUAGUUGCCAUGUUACCUCAGUGAAAAUCAGCUGGAAAAGGCAGGGCUAAUUGCUUUGAUUUAAUCCUGAAAUGUCAGUGACUCAGUGAUGGCUCAUUCAUGGAAGUUAUCUGCUCGAGGUGGAAGCACUGGAUAAAAAUAUCUUCCUUUGGAUGAACUUUAAGUGCUGGAAGUUUCAAAUCAUAGCAUCAGAGAAUGGUUUGAGUUGAAAAGGGACUUUAAGAUGACCUAGAUCUGACACCUCUGCCAUGAGAAGGGACAAAGGGAUGGGGCAAACCUAGGGGAAGCAUGCAGAAAGCAUUUCUGGGGAAGAACUGCAGUGCCUCACUGCCAGCUGUGGCACAGCAGGCAAAAAUCUGAUUUGCCAUCCCAAAGAACAGCAGGUGAGAGAAGGGAAUUGAGGGUUAAAUACCAGAUGUAAAGAGUAAGGGUGUUACUGUCCCACAUCCAAGGCAUAACAGACACAAUUCCUGACUGCUGGGCCACCAGAGCCUCUGAGCAAACUAAAAUUCAGCAGAAGAAAAUGUCAAACACAAAGUAUUUGUUUUGUAAAUGAAAAGGGGACAUGCAGCUUUAAUUUUAGUGUGUUUGGCCUAAGUACCUUCUCCCUUCCCUUGUCUCAACAGGAAAGAGAUGUCCAUAAAUUGGUUUUCUUCAUUAUUUUUCUUUCUGUCUCUCAGAGGAUGUUCCUGUCCCCUGAUUUGGUGGGCAGGCACAUGGCAGGACCACAGCCUCCCAUUAGAACCACUCUGGUUCUGGCUGUGCUGCCUUCAGAGUGAAUUCCAGGAGUUCCCUGGCCCCAGCUGGCACGGAUCCAUCUGGGUGGGGCUGUCCUGGAGCCCUGCUGCAGCCAAGGGGCAGCGCUUGUGGCUGUGCCAGUGGGAAGGAAGGGAUGGAGGCAGGUUCCAGCUUGUUUCUGUCAGAACAGGCAGCAAACGGGACCUGUUCAUCCCCUGCAGCUGGUCCCUGCUCAGGUUCCCAUCCUUCAACCCUGCCCCUUUAAAUUAACUCAAAUACUUCAGGCUUUCCAACCCUGGAAAGACUUCUCUCCUCUUUCUUUUUUUUGGUUUAGAGUGCAAGAAGUUCCCUGCUAACACGUCACCUUUAUUCCUCAGUGUCAUUAAUUUCUUUGGGGCUGAGCCAGGAGAGUUUUGAGGAGACAAUCUGUGUUUUGCAGUGGUUUUUAAGAGUUUCCAUACAAACACUUUGGGAUGUAAAAAGUGCUAAGCAGACAUCUGUCUUAAUAGUGUUCUCUCCAGGUCUCUUAUUCAGUAGUAAAAAUCUUCUCAGUAUGGAGAUGUGAACUGAAUGGAAAACAUCCCCUUUUUGUGGUCUGGGGAAACCAGAGAUACUUUCAUUAGUACUUUCAGAACUGCAGAAAUAUCCACGAGCUUGGAUAUUUAAUUUGUGUAAGUGCUGGGUACAGUCAGCAAUAUAUUUGCGAGUUUAUCCAUAAGAUUUCACAGCUCUGUAUUUGUUUUCAUGCCUUGCUGUCCUGAUGCAGACCUGCUGGUCUGUCUGUAGCACCUGCAGGUUUUCUGUGUGCCAGAUGAAGUGCUCAGUUAUCACAAUCACAUUUAUGCAGCUAUUUGCUGCUCUUCUCUGCAAUGCAGAGUUGUUUCCUAGGCUACAUUUCCUAGUAUAAUACAUAUCCUGUUGUCAGAUGCCUUCCAGUGCAUUUGGCUUCAUUCCUUGAUCCAAUGAAGAUAAAUUAGUGAACUGUCCUGCUUUAUCAGUGGAGUUGGGCUUUGUUUUCUAUAA